GGAGCCUGUCGGCCAGCUGCAAGGGGCCUGGGAUCAAAGCGACCUCGCCCUGACCCCUCCCUUAGGAAUUUUCCAUUCUUCUCUCCCUGCUUCCCCUGCUCCCCCUCCCUGCCUGAAGCCCUGCUUAUAAGCCUUAACACCCAGUCAAUAAAUGAGACCUUGACGCAACUCAGACUGACUUUGUCUUCCUUUACGCGCCUGGUCUCCUUUCUCUCUCGUCCCCAUUGAUCUUUCAGGAGGUGCCUCCUCGGGUCUCAUCAAAUAACUUGGCCCACGGGAUGGGGCAAGUGGCGCCUGAACGUGGGGCUCGAGGCACAGUGACCUGCCGGACGAUGGACAACAGAAGGGGUCCCAGAGAGGAUCAGGGUAGAGAUGCUCGGACUGCAUCACUCGUGCAACGCGGGAGAGUCUUGAGGUAAGUGUGUCGUCUCAUCGAUCAUGGGCAAAAAUUUAUCUAAAGAGGCUGUUUUUCUCAAGGAGAUGAAAGGUUUCCACUUGGCUGACAGAUACAUCCAAGCAUCAUUUGCUGGUGACAACUUACUGCAAAUGACUAUGAGCCCUGAACUUGCUGAAAGCUGAUAUGGACCAAUUCAGCCGAUAUGCAUACCAUCUCUUCAGCUGGUCAAUAAAACGUUCCCUCUUGUCUUUGACUAACAUUCUGGCUUUCUAGGGCCCUGACAACUACAUCCCAAUGUCAGCAGGAAGUAAUCACAGAAGAGAAAACAUCACCCUUGUUUCUCCCCACACACCCUGGAAUGUUAGAUCAAAAGGGAAUUUCUUGUCAUAGGGAACCUGAGAGAAAGUUCCAAGUUCCUUGAGGAUAAGGAACUCUGUCAGCCAUCACAAGGCUUUUGGCCCUUGUGCUUCUGCUAAUUACUGUUGGCUCAACAUGGCACGCCACCGAGUGUGGCAAGCCCCCUGUAUAGCCUAAGACAGGGGCUCUCUCGGACCCUAGCCACCCCGAUCACAAUGGACUUGGUCCAUUUUUGAGAAAAGAGGGGGAACUGUUGGGGACCGACUCCGGACAACUGUAUCCUGAACUUUGUCAAGCCUUGACAGGAGGUUCCUGGCCUAACUGCAGGAUAUACGAUUAGAUAAACUUUCUGGAGCCUGUCGGCCAGCUGCAGGGGGCCUGGGAUCAAAGCGACCUCGCCCUGACCCCUCCCUUAGGAAUUUUCCAUUCUUCUCUCCCUGCUUCCCCUGCUCUCCCUCCCUGCCUGAAGCCCUGCUUAUAAGCCUCAACACCCAGUCAAUAAACGAGACCUUGACGCAA